CUUCCUCUACCCAGAAUCUCUUCAGUCCAGCAGAGUGCAUCAGGUACAGCUGAUCACCUCUGGGAUACAUCUUGCCUCUUUUGUUAAAAUGUUCUCCCAAGAUGCCUGGCUGUGUGUGUGGUAUUGUCUAAUGAGGUCAACCAGUGUAUCACCUCAGUGCUACUCCCACUCCUGUGGCCUCUACCUACUGUCUUGGUUCAUGGAUGUGAAAGAACCUGCCAUGCAGCCUAUGUUCCAGUCUCAGCUGAAGUUUACAUGUGUUCUCCUCCUUUGCUUCCUAAAGUUUACAGGGAAAAGCUUGACUGUCCUGGCCGGUUAAGGCAACCCAACAGCAGUUGGUUAUGUUGUCUUCCACCUUUGUCAGUAUGUGGACUGGUGGAUGGAGCACAAGUGUGGGCAUGUGUGUCAUGGCACCUGUGCUAGGCUGAUGUGGCAUGCUGUCCCAGUCUGUCACCAGUAAUCCUUAUCCUUAUCCUGGGAUGUGUGGCUGCUCUGUGCUGCUUGUCUGCCGGAGCAGAUGGCUGUAAGCAGCUGGAUCAUUUUACAGUGGCUAAUACUCCUCUGAAUGUGACAGCACGAGGACCUCAGCACUGCAGAAUUGAGAGAAUCUUCCACUGUUUUUCAGCCCCCUAUGACCAGAACCAGAGGCAUGUGAAUUGUGACCUUCUUGGGCUGAAGUUACAGCAGCUGAAGAGAUUUGCAGGAAUGAUCUUGAGCUGGUAUCAACAGUUAAUUUUUGGCCGGGAUGUGGCUGAUAGACUAAUCCUGAUUAGACUGGAAUAAAGAGCAAAUUACUGGUCAUGAGUAUCACAGUAGCUGCAGUAUCAGCUGGAGUUGGGUCGUCUUGGGUGAUAAAAAGCUGUAAGCAUUUCUAGUUCAAAUCCCAGCAGCUGAAUGGGUCUUUUCAAAUGUUCCAUUUUCAGUAUAAUAGUUGUCCUGACAUUUCAAUGACUACCAAGCUUAAUUUUCUCAGAAGGAGAGCAGUACUUUGUGCAGAACAAAUCUUUGAGAGCUGCCUGGGAGGCUGUGUUUGGUCUGUGUCCCUGUAGAAUUCCUAAGGAUGAAGCCUUUGGUCAGAGCUUGUUUCUUUCUUUAUAACACAGGUUUAGCAUAUGUUUAGGUAAAUCCCAGUUGCAAACACGAAGACUGAAUUUCUUCAGAGCUACACUGGCUCUUCUGUUGUUUUGAUCUGAGGCCUUGAGACAAAUAUCUAAAUCUUGUCCAAGUCAGAAGCAAUGGCUUUGAGUCACCAUGUGGACAGCAGAAUGCCUUGUAGUGGCCCAGGGGUGCAUUCUGUCCCCAAAAAGCCUAUGAGGGACUCUUGCUGGUAGAGCAAUUCUAGUGGGCUCAGGGGAGUUACCUGUGGAGUCUCCUUAGUGAGAAUGACCAAAACCAAAUGAAUUGCUCACUAGCUGGUGGCCAGACUAGUCAUUAUUCAAAGCACUUAAUGUACAAUAAUGUAUGCAUUUCUAUUCUAACUUUGUUCAGCUGUAUUUUAUAAAUUUGAUGUACUAAACUAUUUGAGAAUAACUGCCUUGACUACUUGGAGAAUCAAAAUGUAAUGUAUAUAGAUACAAAUAAAGUGACUGAAAUAUA